AUUGAACGCUGGCGGCAGGCCUAACACAUGCAAGUCGAGCGGAUGAAGGGAGCUUGCUCCUGGAUUCAGCGGCGGACGGGUGAGUAAUGCCUAGGAAUCUGCCUGGUAGUGGGGGAUAACGUCGGGAAACGGGCGCUAAUACCGCAUACGUCCUGAGGGUGAAAGUGGGGGAUCUUCGGACCUCACGCUAUCAGAUGAGCCUAGGUCGGAUUAGCUAGUUGGUGGGGUAAAGGCCUACCAAGGCGACGAUCCGUAACUGGUCUGAGAGGAUGAUCAGUCACACUGGAACUGAGACACGGUCCAGACUCCUACGGGAGGCAGCAGUGGGGAAUAUUGGACAAUGGGCGAAAGCCUGAUCCAGCCAUGCCGCGUGUGUGAAGAAGGUCUUCGGAUUGUAAAGCACUUUAAGUUGGGAGGAAGGGCAGUAAGUUAAUACCUUGCUGUUUUGACGUUACCAACAGAAUAAGCACCGGCUAACUUCGUG
rnacentral:rRNA from 1 species